GGAGCCUGCGGCUUAAUUUGACUCAACACGGGAAAACUCACCAGGUCCGGACAUGGGAAGGAAUGACAGAUUGAGAGCUCUUUCAAGAUUCUAUGGGAGGUGGUGCAUGGCCGUUCUUAGUUGGUGGGGUGACUUGUCUAAGUUAAUUCAGGUAACGGACGAGACGUCUAUGGAUAAAUGGGAGGUGGGAUGGUUUCCAUCCCGUUCUUCACUUAUUCAGACAAAUCACGAAAAGUGAUAGGAAGCGAGACGCAAUAACAGGUCUGUGAUGCCCUUAGAUGUUCUGGGCUGCACGCGCGCUACACUGAUUGGGGGAGCGAGUUUAUUACUGAGACCGAAAGGUCCAAGUAAUCUUUAAAUCCCAAUCGUGCUGGGGAUAGACGAUUGCAAUUAUUUGUCUUGAACGAGGAAUUCCUAGUAAACGCGAGUCAUCAGCUUGCGUUGAUUACGUCCCUGCCCUUUGUACACACCGCCCGUCGCUACUACCGAUUGGGUAUUUUAGUGAGUGUCUCGGACUGGAUGGGUUACUAUUCGGAAAGAGAAGCAAACUUGAAUACCUAGAGGAAGUAAAAGUCGUAACAAGGUUUCCGUAGGUGAACCUGCGGAAGGAUCAUUAAAGAGUAUUUUGUGCGCUAAGCGCAUAACAUGAAUGCCCGAGCAGUUGCUCGUGACAUGAACGCAUAUCUGAUUGGCUGAGUCUAAUUGUUAUUAUAAAAUAACCUUUAACAAUGGAUCUCUUGGCUCUUGCAACGAUGAAGAACGCAGUGAAGUGCGAAAAGUAGUGUGAAAUGCAUAACUGUGAAUCAUUAAAUUUUUGAACGCAUCAUGCACCUUUUGAACAAAAAGGUAUGGCUGUUUGAGUGUUACUAAAUUUCUGUUUUACAUUUGUUAAACGAGAUGUUGGAAGAAAAUGUCAAUUUUCUCUGAUUAAAAAUAGUGAGUCGCUUUAAGUCUUAUAAAUUGAUAAUCAUUUAUUUGUAAUUUUUAAAAGCUCAACUAUAUUACUCCUUUUUAACCUCAAAUCAGCCAAGUUUACCCGCCGAACUUAAGCAUAUCAGUAAGCGGAGGAAAAGAAACUAACAAGGAUUCCCCUAGUAACUGCGAGUGAAGCGGGAAGUGCUCAAAUUUAAAAUCUGGCAAAGUCUGCUUUGUCCGAAUUGUAAUCUAGAGGUGCUUUUUUGGGUGUAUAUCGGUGGCUCAAGUUCCUUGGAACAGGACAUCACAGAGGGUGAGAAUCCCGUCUGGGUCGCUUGAUAUGCAUCAUAUGAAAAGCUCCAACGAGUCAGGCUGUUUGGGAUUGCAGCUUAAAUUGGGUGGUAAAAAACAUCUAAAGCUAAAUAAUGGCAAGAGACCGAUAGCGAACAAGUACCGUGAGGGAAAGAUGAAAAGGACCUUGAAAAGGGGGUUAAAAAGAGUGUGAAAUUGUUAAAGGGGAAGCCUGUGUGUGUAGCGUUGGUUGGCGGUUGUUCGUAGUGUUAGAUAAAGGCUCGGGGAAGGUGUUGAAGGAGGCAACUCUUUCAAUUUAUAGCCUCAAGCUGCAAUAGCACUCUGGACAAAUCGAGGUGAAAAAUGGCUGGAAUUCAAGAAAUUCAUUCUAGCCGCUCUUUCACAACUCUUCACUGACCAUUACUCCUUUUUAGCCUCAAAUCAGCCAAGUUUACCCGCCGAACUUAAGCAUAUCAGUAAGCGGAGGAAAAGAAACUAACAAGGAUUCCCCUAGUAACUGCGAGUGAAGCGGGAAGUGCUCAAAUUUAAAAUCUGGCAAAGUCUGCUUUGUCCGAAUUGUAAUCUAGAGGUGCUUUUUUGGGUGUAUAUCGGUGGCUCAAGUUCCUUGGAACAGGACAUCACAGAGGGUGAGAAUCCCGUCUGGGUCGCUUGAUAUGCAUCAUAUGAAAAGCUCCAACGAGUCAGGCUGUUUGGGAUUGCAGCUUAAAUUGGGUGGUAAAAAACAUCUAAAGCUAAAUAAUGGCAAGAGACCGAUAGCGAACAAGUACCGUGAGGGAAAGAUGAAAAGGACCUUGAAAAGGGGGUUAAAAAGAGUGUGAAAUUGUUAAAGGGGAAGCCUGUGUGUGUAGCGUUGGUUGGCGGUUGUUCGUAGUGUUAGAUAAAGGCUCGGGGAAGGUGUUGAAGGAGGCAACUCUUUCAAUUUAUAGCCUCAAGCUGCAAUAGCACUCUGGACAAAUCGAGGUGAAAAAUGGCUGGAAUUCAAGAAAUUCAUUCUAGCCGCUCUUUCACAACUCUUCACUGACC
rnacentral:rRNA from 1 species